rnacentral:misc_RNA from 1 species
UUUCCGUAGGUGAACCUGCGGAAGGAUCAUUACCUUUUGGCGCCUUUAGGCGUUAUCGGGGGGUUUGUAUGUAGCGCAGGUCUUUUUGGUUUGUGCCGCCUGCAGCCCCUGUCUGGACCCCUGUUUUUGCGUACUACUUGUUUCCUUGGUGGGCUUGCCUGCCAAAAGGACCCCCUAAAACUCUUGCAAUUGAAAUCAACGUCAGCAAACAAUAAUAAUUACAACUUUCAACAACGGAUCUCUUGGCUCUG